AUCUGGCCACAGCAGGAAGAAGAGGCGCCCGGAAAACCUUAGCUCUUGGCUAUCUCUUCCCUGAGCACACCCUGGCCUUGGGGCCUGAGAUCUCUCCAUGCAGGGGCAACCAUGAGCUCCGGGGGCAGCAGCAAGGCUGGCCACACCACCCGUCAGCCACCUCCAGCCCCGCCGCUCAACCAGCCAUCAGUCCCUUAACUGCCAGUGUUCGUGGACCAUGCAAAACAACCAAGCAAGGGACUCAUUAAGCCCAAAGCAAUUUUAGGGUGCCCAGUGGAGAGACUCACAGAGGCUGCUAGUGCCGAUGCUGCUGGUGCUGCUGCUGAGGAGUGCCCAGGACCAGGUGCCAGGGGAGUUGGAGUCAAUAACCACCACUGUCAGAUCUACUGACCCCCAAGCCAGUUUCUCCAGUCAGUAGAUCCCAGCCAGCCUAGAAGCAGGCUCACAGUUUUCCAUGGAGGGCUUGGAUAAUAAACUGAUCCUGGAUGUUGGUGGCAUACGCCACCUGAUCUACAUCAGCACCAUGAGGGCCUUUCCAG
rnacentral:sRNA from 1 species